GUAUACUCCCAUAAGGCACACACGUAGGUUUUGAGAGCUGAGGUGGAUGUCCUGGAGAGUCGUAAGGAAAGAAAGAUAUAUGGGCUUUACAUAUUCUUUGAAAACAGUAAUUAUUUAUUUUGGUGGCAGGCAUCCAACUCCUGACGCUACUUCGUCUCAAGUGCUGGUGCGCGCCACCAUGUCUAGUUUAAAAAGUGACUUAUUUAUCUUUCGCCACCAUAAUAGUGCGCACCUUUGUUCCCAGCUGACGGCGCCUGCACUGCCACGGUACCGAGUCAGGAGACAGAGGCAAGUGGGUGUCUCAGAGUGUCUGAGACCAGCCUGGUCAAGACAGUGAGUUUCUAGGCCAGCAUAGUAAGACUCUAACCACAAAGGAGCCUAAGAUGGGAACUUAAUACUAAUGUAGCCCAGGCUAGCCUGAAAGCUACGUAGUCCAGGCUGGCCCUGAUCCUGUAAGUAACUUUCUGUUUCUGUCUAACAAAUGCUGAGAUUACAGAUAUGUGUGGAUGCCUGGCCUUUAAAAAGUGAUUUAAAAAAAAAGAGUAUUUCAUUUCAUGAGCAACUAUAAUUUAUUAAACUUAUCCCUCUGUUUAAAAAAAUAUUUUAUUAAUUCUUUGAGAGUUCUAUACAAUACAACGUAUUUUGAUCAUUUCACCCCGACUCCUUCCAGACCUGUCUCUCACACCCUGCCUUCCCUACUUUAUGUUCCUCUAGCCUUUGUACAAUAUUUAUGAAGAUGUUUUAUUAUAAAUGACACUAAAACCUCUAUAUGUUUUUACAAGCAUCUAAUCGUUCUUGAAAGAUAGAUUCACAGAAACCGAACCAGUGGGUUGAAAGGUAAAUUAUCCUUGACACUCACUGCUGAAAAGAACAAAAAAUAAAGACGAAACCAAUACACCCCACAAUAACUAUCCUGCUUUCCCCAGAGCUGAGCAAGGAGCCCGUGCCGCUAGAUUACAGAGGAAGGUGAAGGGAGACCUCGUAACUGUAUGCUGUGUGCCUGUUUGGAACACUAAAUCUGAAGAAAAAUGAAGAGAUAACCCAAAAUAUUAGCAUCGCUGACCCUGAGGUUGGGUCAUUCCGGUGACCUAGACGUUUUCUUCUGCACAGUUCUGUAACUUGUGCUUUCUAAAUACUGUGGGUAUUGCAAUAUUUUGUUUGCUUGUUUUUUGUUUUUUUCUUGAGACAUCUUUUCUGAUAUCCCAAGCAGGCUGGCCUCCAACUCACUACAUAGUGGAGGCUGAAAUUUCACCUCACAAAUGCUGACAUUAAAAGGCAUGUGCCAUAUUUGGUACAAACAGAAAAGUCUGUCACUAGUGUAAGCCAGGACAAGCUGCUACUCAUUGUCUCUCCCUGCACUAGGCAGAGCACCUCAGAAAUGCUUUUCCUGAGUCCCUUCCUAGGCAGACAGACUCCGUGUGUGUUUUCAAGGUUACAGGGUGCAGAUGGGUUUUUGUUGUUGGUUUGGUUUUGUUGUUUUUUUGUUUGUUUUCGUUUUUUGAGACAGGGUUUCUCUGUGCAGCCCUGGACGUCCUGGAAUUUACUGCGUAGACUAUGCUUGCCUUGAACUCCUGGAGAUCCUUUGCCUUUGGAGAGCUGGCAUUAAAGGCCUGCAUCACCACUGUUGUAACAGGGGCAUGGUGCUUUUGUAUUUUGUUUUGUUUUGUUUUGUUUUCUUUUCUUUUUUUCGGAGCUGGGAACCGAACCCAGGGCCUUGUGCUUGCUAGGCAAGCACUCUACCACUGAGCUAAAUCCCCAACCCCUUGUUUUGUUUUUUUAAAGGCCUCCCCUGAACACCAAUGUACAAUUUAGGGACGAACAUCUCCUGAAUCCCCCCAAAUGCUGAAGACUUAUCACCCGUGAGAGAGGGAAGACAUGGUGUCAGAGACAAAACCCCUAGGCUGGACGGCACUUGGAGCCCCAGAUGCUUUGCUGCACAGAGUUCACAGAAAAAGAAUCGGAAGAUCUGGGAAAUCCAGGUUCCCGAGGAAGAAAGCCAGUUCCUUCUAGUUCUGGACUCUGGAAGAAACCAGAGACCUAACAGCGUCACAGCCUGGCGUUGGCAACCCUUCCCUGAGAUAAGGGAGCAGAGGCGCGGCUCUCCUUCGGAGAGAAACAAAUAGAUCUCCAUCGCUUGCCCGUGUGUCGGUUUUACUCGGGAUAGCGAAAGUUCUGAUACCUUUAAAGGAGCUGGCAAAAAUCCUCCAGGCUGAAAUGUCAGCAAACCGCUGACUUCCAGAUAGACCAAGUGCAGUUCACUCAACGUCUCUCAUCAGUGCCUUGUUGUCUGAAGCCCGGAGCCUCCAGAUCGAGAACAGAACGUGGUCUCUGUAAAAAUCACCACUCUCAACACACUCGGUCAAAAAGAUGGUGAUUUGCUUUAAAAUUAUUAGAUUUA